UACGUAGGGUGCAAGCGUUGUCCGGAAUUAUUGGGCGUAAAGAGCUCGUAGGCGGUUUGUCGCGUCUGCUGUGAAAACCCGAGGCUCAACCUCGGGCCUGCAGUGGGUACGGGCAGACUAGAGUGCGGUAGGGGAGACUGGAAUUCCUGGUGUAGCGGUGGAAUGCGCAGAUAUCAGGAGGAACACCGAUGGCGAAGGCAGGUCUCUGGGCCAUUAACUGACACUGAGAAGCGGAAAGCAUGGGGGAGCGAACAGGA
rnacentral:rRNA from 1 species